AGAGAGGCGGAGGAGAAACGGUUAAAAUGGAGCUGUCAGGGAGGACAGUAAAGUGUGCAGGGACUUCUCCUCAGGGCCCUUGAAGCUAAUUUUCAAUACUUUUGUUGCGCGAGUCUUCUUCCUGUUCAGUGUUCACAGAAGAAGAGUGUGGACUGGCUUUUCCUUUUCGCCAUCUGUUUGUUGCCGCAGGACAGUGUGGGGACUAGAUUCCGAGGUGUGUUUUUUAGUGUAAACGUUUGUAGAGCUCUGAGUUUCAUGUCUUCCUGUUUUGUGUCACUUCUCCCGGUGACAACAGUAGACGCUCCUCUCCUGUUUUUCAGGUUCAAGCUCUCUUUCUGGGCUCUUUUUCCAUGACUCCACUUUCUGUUCCUGCUCUUGCUACGAGCAUGUCUCUCCCUUCCUCUUUCUGUGUCUCUACACCCCCCCUCCUCCCCCUCCUCCUCCUCCCUUCUUUUUCUCUCCUUCCCUCUUGGCAGUUGUGCCAAAGUGGGCAGGCAGACGGAGGCAAACACAUGACAGGGCAGAGCAGAGGGCGAUCUGAAGGCUGGCAAAUUGAUUUUGUGUGUGUGUGUGUGUGUGUGUGUGUGCGUUUUUUGAUCGUACUAACUACGUCCCUCUGUCACCCGUGUACGAAGAGACGCACUCACGCCAGGAGGAGGGGAUUGUGGGAAGGGGGUGUCGCUCUGAGAGGGUGUGCUCUACUCCUCUUUUCCAUUCUUCCCGCCAUCACUGCCCUCUUCUCCUUCAGUCCUCGGGCCCGGGGGCCGCCGCUCACAUACAGACUGCAGGUGUCUCUUUGGAGGCUCGCGAGGUAAAACGACAGGGCCCGCUGUGCUGCUUUCUGAACUCAAAGGGUCAACUAAGCUAA
rnacentral:lncRNA from 1 species